rnacentral:rRNA from 1 species
UACGGAGGAUGCAAGCGUUAUCCGGAAUUAUUGGGCGUAAAGCGUCCGCAGGUGGUUUAUCAAGUCUGCUGUCAAAGCGCGAGGCUUAACUUCGUAAAGGCAGUGGAAACUGAUAGGCUAGAGUGCGGUAGGGGUAAGGGGAAUUCCCAGUGUAGCGGUGAAAUGCGUAGAUAUUGGGAAGAACACCGGUGGCGAAAGCGCCUUGCUGGACCUGCACUGACACUGAGGGACGAAAGCUAGGGGAGCGAAAGGG